rnacentral:rRNA from 1 species
UGCAAGUCGAACGGUAGCACAGAGAGCUUGCUCUCGGGUGACGAGUGGCGGACGGGUGAGUAAUGUCUGGGAAACUGCCUGAUGGAGGGGGAUAACUACUGGAAACGGUAGCUAAUACCGCAUAACGUCGCAAGACCAAAGAGGGGGACCUUCGGGCCUCUUGCCAUCAGAUGUGCCCAGAUGGGAUUAGCUAGUAGGUGGGGUAACGGCUCACCUAGGCGACGAUCCCUAGCUGGUCUGAGAGGAUGACCAGCCACACUGGAACUGAGACACGGUCCAGACUCCUACGGGAGGCAGCAGUGGGGAAUAUUGCACAAUGGGCGCAAGCCUGAUGCAGCCAUGCCGCGUGUAUGAAGAAGGCCUUCGGGUUG